CUAAAUCCAUGUUGCCGAACUCUUCUUCUCCCACUCCGCUCUUCACGCGUCGUCGAUCGCCCAAUCGCUGACUGCCAGCAUCACCCGACACUGCUCGAUUCCUCUCUUCCCUGAUUCCCAAUUCCAUCUCCAGUUUCUCUUCUCCCCAACUCAUUGUAGCUGCCGCCGCCCAUUGCUAGAUCACCGACUGCCUAACAUUGCUCGAUGUCGCUUGAGCGCUUGGCACUGACCGAUGUUGUCGAUUCCUAUCCCCAAUCCCGACCGCACCAUCCUUUUCCCUAUGCGGACCGCUAUCCGCGUCGCCUUGCUAGAUCGCCAGACCCCCUUGCACCAUCGGCUUUUCUCCGACCACAAGUAGGAAGCCGUCCCGAUUUCCAGCUACCCUUCUUCCUCGCUUCACUACCGCUGCCCCUCUCGGCCGAUCGUCGACCAACGCCCUUCACUUGAAGCCGAGUCAGCAACGCCACAACCGUCGACCAUGGUGAGAUCUACCCCUUGUUGUUUUUCUAGUUGUGCCGAGACUAACUUGGCAGCACUGCCGUCUCUCCUCUAUUCACAUCCAUUUCGACAGCCACCCACAAUCAUAGUACCUUGAACCGUUACUGCUCUUGCCAUUUUCAUUGCUGGGGUCACUGCCGGAGAGUGAGCUGCCAACUGCCACCUCCCUGCACUGGCCAGCGUAGUCAUAGCCACAACCAUCACCGCCUUCAUCUAUUCUGGCCAGAAACUUAGGGUUAUUGGAGGGUGCUGAUUUUGGAGCAUUGGAUUUGCUGGACAGUAGCUCUGCCUAACUCUGGCCACCAUCUUUCGAUUGUGAAUCCCUCAGGUAGUGAGCCACCAUUAGCCACCAUAGAUUUGAGUUUUGAUUUGAUUUGAAGCAAACUAUUGGACUUGAAGAUAUUCAGUGCGACUUACAAAUAAAGGCAGGUAGAAGGUAGAGGUAUAAGGAGUUGCUUGGAGGAUCCUGACUGCUAGUCCCACGUCACAUCUGAGAUAGGCUUUCCAUGCUUUUUAGCACUACACUAUUUGUACUCUGUAUUUGGUUUUAGUAUUGCGUUAUGUGGAUUUAUUUAUGGUUUUGAGCCUUGUGGCUCAUUUAUUCAUUUUGGAUUUGUAUUGUGGUGUAAGUCAUGCCAGCAUGCAAUCAGCGUUAUAUCCUGUGUAGUUUAUGUUUGUAA